rnacentral:rRNA from 1 species
GCGCACCAGUUGCGAAAACUCCGCAAUACGCGAAAGCGUGACGGGGCUACCCCGAGUGUCGUCCGCUGAGGACGACUUUUCCACGCUGUAAGGAGGCGUGGGAAUAAGGAGAGGGCAAGUCUGGUGUCAGCCGCCGCGGUAAUACCAGCUCUCCGAGUGGUAGGGACGAUUAUUGGGCUUAAAGCGUCCGUAGCCGGCUCAGCAAGUCUCCCGUUAAAUCCAACGAUUCAAUCGUUGGACUGCGGGAGAUACUGUUGAGCUAGGAGGCGGGAGAGGCCGACGGUAUUCCCGGAGUAGGGGUGAAAUCUUAUAAUUACGGGAGGACCACCAGUGGCGAAGGCGUUCUGCGAGAACGGGCUCGACGGUGAGGGACGAAAGCCAGGGGCGCAAACGGGAGUAGAUACCACUGGAGUCC